AAAAAUGAUAAAGGAUCUUGAGGAAGAGAGAAAUUUUCUCCGUUUACAAGUCCAGGGGGAUAAGAAGAAAUCAACAAAAUACUUAGUGAAGAAAGAGGAAGAUGAGGAUGACAUGGAUGAGCUGCCAACCUCAUCACCAAAUAUUAGUGAUUCAGACAGUGAUGUAAUGCCUCAGAGGUCAUACCGGCAUCACCACCACAAGUCACCUACGAAGGGAGCUACAGCCCUGCCUGGGCGUGGACACGUCCGAGUUAAAGGGCCAGAGGAGGUCAUUCAGCGGUACAAAAAAGUCUUAAAGACAUUUGGAACUGUCCGAACGAUGACACAGGCUUUCCAAAUGAAUCAGGUUGACCGGGCCACAAUUAAACUAACCGCACCAAUCGCCGAGCUCAAAAUUGUGGAUCCAGCAAAGUACAGCUCCCUGGUUUAUGACCCAACUCAGGAAACUCUGUUGGGUUUUGCAAAAAAAUGUGCAAACAAUGUAAGUCCAGAAAAUAAAAAGAUGAUAGGGGACAUGAAGUCGAAAGGAAAAUUGUUGCCCAUACUUGUGAAGUACUGAGCAAGUACUGCUUUGACCUAAUGGUUCUUGGCUAGGUUAUGUGUGUUUGUGUUUACAGAUUAAAAAUGCCUAAAGCCAUAUUAGGAAAGAAAUGCACCUUUUUUAUUGUUAUCAGCUGUGUCAGCUACCCCUUUAUUUUUUGCUUUACUUCCUGUUCACAACUCUAGGUUGUACCAAAUGGUUCUUGGCUGUAAAGACAGUGUGUGUGUGUGUGUGUGUGUGUGUGUGUGUGUGUGUGUGUGUGUGUGUGUGUGUGUGUGUGUGUGUGUGUGUGUGUGUGUGUGUGUGUGUGUGUGUGUGUGUGUGUGUGUGUGUGUGUGUGUGUGUGUGUGUGUGUGUGUGUGCGCGCGCGUGCGUGUUCACAGAUUCAAUACACCUUAA